rnacentral:rRNA from 1 species
GACGAACCGUGCGAACGUUGUUCGGAUUCACUGGGCUUAAAGGGCGCGUAGGCGGGCGACCAAGUCCGGGGUGAAAUCUUUCGGCUCAACCGGAAAAGUGCCUUGGAUACUGGUUGUCUCGAGGGAGGUAGGGGCAUGCGGAACUUCCGGUGGAGCGGUGAAAUGCGUAGAUAUCGGAAGGAACGCCGGUGGCGAAAGCGGCGUGCUGGACCUCUGCUGACGCUGAGGCGCGAAAGCCAGGGGAGCGGAACGGG